CUGAGUUUCGCUUUCUGACAGCGAUGGGCUAGCCACUCCUGGGCCCCUGCAUUCGUUCCCAUCUCAAAACAUGGGGCUGAGCGCCUCCCCCUCACCCAGCUGACCUAUGGGGUUUCUGGUCUGUACCUGUCUGUAAAAUCCUUUUCCUGACAGUGCCACCUGCCUUCCUAAAGCCUUUUAGAACUCACAACUCCUGUCUGUCCCCAAGCUAACCAGUCCUUGCAUGCUGCACCCCUGGGUCUCCAGCUGCUCAUUCUGCUACAAAGCCGCCUUGUCAUGUACUGUCCUCGGCCUGGAGAUGGGGCCAAGAGCCAGGAGGAAUUCCUCGCUCUGGAGUGUUACUCUUGAAGAGGAAAAAACAGGUGCUGGACAGCAAGGAGAGGAGGCCGGAGGAGGCAGCCUCCAUGCUCAGCCCGGUACCUGUGCUUGGAUUUCCCCGCGUGUCCCACGGAGGCAAAUGCACAUGUAUGAAGGGUCUCGCUAAGUUGCUCAGGCUGG